GGCUGAGUCAGGACCCUGCGCGCGCGCUGCCGGCUAGCACUGUGAGGGGAACAGCGUGAAUGCCCCUCCUCUCCCGGCCUUUCCUUCCCGGCAGUUACGACAGGCCAUUAGAGGUUAUUUACAUUCAAUAGUUACACCUGACACACCUGUAAAGUCUUCUAAUUUUCGUGAAAUGUUGUCUUCAAUCCACUCUUCUGUGGAAGCAAAGGAGCAUUCUCUAGCACCGUUAACAUUACUUGGUGUCAGAAGGGGGAUCCGAAGGAGAUGAACCCCUGAAGAAUUAAUGAUCCCUGGAAUCAUGCACAGUACCCACUUGAUCCUCUUGUGCUCCCCACUUCCUUUUGGUUCGAGUUCACUGUGGGCUGGAGGAAGAGAAGGUGGGGUGCAGCCUCGGAGAGAGGAGAGCAUAACUGGAAGGCAUGUUGAACAGCAGUUGCUGAAGUGAUUUUGAUGAAAUGUGACCUUUGAAGACUGUGGCCACUGACCAAAGAAUCUGAACUACAGUAUCCAACAUUUUACAGGCUACAAAACAUAAGCUGGCCAGCAUUUAUUGCUUGUACUAACAGCUUGAGUCAAGUUUCCUAAGCCUACAGAGAAGACCUCUUACUGCUGCUAAUUUUACUAUCAGCGAAGAAAAGGGAAAUAGGAAACCGUAUGGGAUGGCUGAAUGAGAGCAUUUGUGAGAGCAGUAUGAACUCGGAUUAUCUGAAGAGAGGGCAACUUUUUUCUAAAACUAAAAAGGACUCAAUUUGCAUAGAAAUAAAGUGGGAAAAAAUGUAAUGUAGAAAAAGUUAUAAGCAGAGAUUCUGCUCUGGCCUCUCAGGAUGGCAUUGAUAUACAUAUUAAGGCAGUCACCAGGGAAAUGUUAAAAACCCUCUAGGGAAAUUUCCAAUGUGAUGGAUAGAACUUUAAUAUUAAUAUAGGAUUCAUCAUGAUAAUGUAAGUCAUAGAUCUAAGUCUCCCUUCAUCAAAUGAAUAGUCCCUUUCCAGCCUAUUAUACAGGCAGCACAUGCUUUAAAUAGUGUCAUGUGGGAGACUUGAAGUCUUUCUUUAUCUGCAGUUUCUGAAGUUUUGUUCACAGGAAUAGUGACCCACCGGGUCAUUCAUCUUUAAUUACGUCAUCUAGACCAUUUGCAUUUUCCCCUUUUUAUUAAUAUUUAGUGUUCCUUAAAAUAUACUUCAUCAUACUUUUUUUCACAAAUAGAAAAAGCAUAAUUCAACACAUACUAUUUCAUACAUGCAGUGAGUAUGAAGGGAAGAUCUGAUUCUUAAUCUAUUCGUUAAUCAUUAUACAAGGAAAAAAGUGAUUUCUGGGUUGCUAUUUGAUUUAGUUAUCUAGUACACAAUUAUCAACCAUAUGCAUGUGUAUUGUUCAUCUUACUCCGGGUUUCGUAGUCUUCUAACACUGACACCCCACAAAAUGGUGGCUGAGUCUCUCUAGAAUCCUAUAAGACAAUGACAGUCUUUUUGGAAUGAGAAUGAUUGCAGUGUUGAUACCAAUAUAAUAAAUGCCAGUAAUAAUAAAUGUUAAGAUUCAUCUGCUGCUUUUUUCAGCAGAAAUUUGAAUAUUCAUUAGGGAGCAUAUAAUCACCUUUUCUUACCUUAGCCCAAAACACACAUGAAAAUAAAUUCAUAAGUACAGACUACGAAUACAGACAUAAAUUGUGUACACAGACAUGUAGACCCUCAAGUUCUAUAAGGAAGAGGGGGCUUUCCUUAAGCCUGGAAUCACUGCACUAUGUCUUUAAAUUCGUGAUGUGCAUUGGUUUCAUUCUAUUCCAGUUCUCCACUCAUGCAGUAACCAAUGUCAACAUUUGGGGUAUCAUUUCAUGUAUUUAGUUGGUAUCCGUUUUGGGGUAUAAAGGUUCUGAGAAGUCCUGCUGUAAAGAAAAUUAUUUAAUGGGUAGACUCUAGCAUUCCUAACUUUCUUUUGACCAUGAAAUCCCUU